CCUACGGGUGGCAGCAGUGAGGAAUAUUGGUCAAUGGGCGCGAGCCUGAACCAGCCAAGUCGCGUGAGGGAAGACGGCCCUACGGGUUGUAAACCUCUUUUGCCGGGGAGCAACGGGCGCCACGUGUGGCGCCACUGUGAGUACCCGGACAAAAAGCAUCGGCUAACGCCGUGCCAGCAGCCGCGGUAAUACGGAGGAUGCGAGCGUUAUCCGGAUUUAUUGGGUUUAAAGGGUGCGUAGGCGGAUCGUCAAGUCAGUGGUCAAAUCGAGGGGCUCAACCCCUUGCCGCCAUUGAAACUGGCGCUCUUGAGUGGAAGAGAAGUAGGCGGAAUGCGGGGUGUAGCGGUGAAAUGCAUAGAUAUCACGAAGAACCCCGAUGGCGAAGGCAGCAUGCCGGGUUCCUACUGACGCUGAGGCACGAAAGCGUGGGGAUCGAACAGGAUUAGAUACCCCGGUAGUC
rnacentral:rRNA from 1 species